rnacentral:rRNA from 1 species
GAUGAACGCUGGCGGCGUGCCUAAUACAUGCAAGUCGAGCGAACGGACGAGAAGCUUGCUUCUCUGAUGUUAGCGGCGGACGGGUGCGUAACACGUGGAUAACCUACCUAUAAGACUGGGAUAACUUCGGGAAACCGUAGCUAAUACCGGAUAAUAUUUUGAACCGCAUUGUUCAAAAGUGAAAGACGGUCUUGCUGUCACUUAUAGAUGGAUCCGCGCUGCAUUAGCUAGUUGGUAAGGUAACGGCUUACCAAGGCAACGAUGCAUAGCCGACCUGAGAGGGUGGACGGACACACUGGAACUGAGACACGGUCCAGACUCCGACGGGAGGCAGCAGUAGGGAAUCUUCCGCGAAGGGCGAAAGCCUGACGGAGCAAAGCCGCGUGAGUGAUGAAGGUCUUCGGAUCGUAAAACUCUGUUAUUAGGGAAGAACAUAUGUGUAAGUAACUGUGCACAUCUUGACGGUACCUAAUCAGAAAGCCACGGCUAACUACGUG